rnacentral:rRNA from 1 species
AGCGAACGCUGCGGCAGGCUUAACACAUGCAAGUCGAGCGGGCGUAGCAAUACGUCAGCGGCAGACGGGUGAGUAACGCGUGGGAACAUACCUUGUGGUUCGGAACAACACAGGGAAACUUGUGCUAAUACCGGAUAAGCACUUACGGGGAAAGAUUUAUCGCCGAAAGAUUGGCCCGCGUCUGAUUAGCUAGUUGGUGAGGUAAUGGCUCACCAAGGCGACGAUCAGUAGCUGGUCUGAGAGGAUGAUCAGCCACAUUGGGACUGAGACACGGACCAAACUCCUACGGGAGGCAGGAGUGGGGAAUAUUGGACAAUGGGGGCAACCCUGAUCCAGCCAUGCCGCGUGAGUGAUGAAGGCCCUAGGGUUGUAAAGCUCUUUUGUGCGGGAAGAUAGUGACGGUACCGCAAGAAUAAGCCCCGGCUAACUUCGUGCCAGCAGCCGCCGCCGUAA